AGCACAAUAGCUCAGGGUGUUGCGAGGCUAAUCAUCAGGCAGUAAAAGGAUAACCACUGAUUUUCAUCACUGCUGGAGCUGACCUGACUACAAUGGAUACUGGACAAAUCCUAUCAAUACUGCUGAUACUAUCAGUGGCUAUGGACUUUGUUCCUACUUCAACUUCUGCAGAAACGAUUACAACUGUAGAUCCAACUAGUGUUUGGUCAACAACAGAUCCACAAUCAACAACAAUGGGAGAGUUAACAACUGCAGAAUCAUCAGCCACUCCUGAAUCAACAACAAUGGAAGAAACAACAAAUACAGGGUCAACAGAAGCUCCUGAAUCAACAACUGUAGGGUCAACAGCACCUCCACAAUCGACAACAAUGGGAGAGUCAACAACUGCAGAAUCAACAGCAGCUCCACAAUCAACAACAAUGGGAGAGUCAACAACUACAGAAUCAACAGCUGCUCCUGAAUCAACAACAAUGAGAGAGUCAACAACUACAGAAUCAACAGCUGCUCCACAAUCAACAACAAUGGGAGAGUCAACAACUACAGAAUCAACAGCUGCUCCACAAUCAACAACAAUGGAAGAAACAACAAAUACAGGGUCAACAGAAGCUCCUGAAUCAACAACUGUAGGGUCAACAGCAGCUCCACAAUCGACAACAAUGGGAGAGUCAACAACUACAGAAUCAACAGCUGCUCCACAAUCAACAACAAUGGGAGAAACAACAAAUGCAGGGUCAACAGCAGCUCCCGAAUCAACAACUGUAGGGUCAACAGCACCUCCACAAUCAACAACAAUGGGAGAGUCCACAAUUGCAGGAUCAACAGCCGCUCCACAAUCAACAACAAGGGGAGAAACAACAACUGCAGGGUCAACAGCAGCUCCUGAAUUAACAACAGUAUCUCCUGGGUCAACCAGAAUGCCAAUGACAACUGAGGGAUUGACCACAAAUGGGACAAUAACAGCAAUUGUAACCACAACUGGGGUACCAAUGACAUCAGGUAGAACAACCACAAGUGAUAUUACAAGUGCAACCACAAAUGAGAUUUCAAUAGCAACUCAAGCAAUGAACUCUACUCUUCACCCAACCACAACCAUGCUAACAACAAGUACCACUGAAGCGCCACCACCAACGGUGGUUUUUACAUUUGUCAUUGUGGUUGUGUUUACACCUGAGCUAAACAAUCGCGACAGUGAGGCAUUUCGGGAGCUCGAGACACAGCUGGUAUCAGCGUGUAUUGUCAUCUACAAUGGGUUUACGUCUUUCACCGGCUGUUUUGUCAGAGGGUUCAGACCUGCAGCCAGUUCCAGGGAGCGAAGUCGGAGAGCCACGGGAAAUACAGAGGCAGAUAUAGGAGUUCAGUUCAAUUCAACUGCACCAGCAUCAGAAAUUCCAGAGGCCAAUGCUGUUGUAAAUUCUUUGAAAGAGGCUGUUGCCAGUCCCAACAACACUUUCAACGUUACAUUUGUACCUAAUUCUGUCCGACUAGUUGAAACAAAUGCUACAACUCCAGCGCCUAAUGUUACAACCGCAGCCCCCAACGCUACAUCUGUUGCUCCAAAUGCCACCACCUCAGCUUCCAAUGCUACAACAGUAGCAACCAACGCAACAAUUGCUGCAUCCAAUGCUACAACCGCAGCCCCCAACGCUACAUCUGUUGCUCCGAAUGCCACCACCUCAGCUUCCAAUGCUACAACCGCAGCCCCCAACGUUACAUCUGUUGCUCCGAAUGUCACCACCUCAGCUCCCAAUGCUACAACAGUAGCAACCAAUGCUACAAUUGCUGUGUCCAAUGCUACAACCUCAGCCCCCAAUGCUACAUCUGUUUCUCCAAAUGCCACCACCUCAGCUUCCAAUGCUACAACAGUAGCAACCAACGCAACAAUUGCUGUGUCCAAUGCUACAACGGCAGCCCCUAGCGCUACAUCUGUUGCUCCAAAUGUCACCACCGCAGCAAUGAACACUACCAUUCUUCCAACUACAACCAGGCUAACAACAAGUAGCACUGAAGUUUCAUCACCAACGGUGUUUGUUGCAGUUAUCAUUGUGUUUGUGUUUACACCUGAUCUAAACGAUCGCAACAGUGAGGCAUUUCGAAACCUCGCGACACCGCUGGUUACUGGGUGUGAGGACCUCUACAGACCUAUAUUUACGUCUUUCAUCAGAUGUGUAGUCAUAGAUUUUAGACCUGCAGCCAGUUCCAGGGAGCGAAGUCGGAGAGCCACGGGAAAUACAGAGGCAGAUAUAGGAGUUCAGUUCAAUUCAACUGCACCAGAGGCCAAUGCUGUUGUAAAUCCUUUGAAAGAGGCUGUUGCCAGUCCCAACAACACUUUCAACGUUACAUUUGUACCUAAUUCUGUCCGACUAAUUGAAACAAAUGCUACAACUCCAGCCCCUAAUGUUACAACCGCAGCCCCCAACGCUACAUCUGUUGCUCCAAAUGCUACCACCUCAGCCUCCAAUGCUACAACAGCAGCAACCAAUGCAACAACUGCUGCUUCUAGUGCUGCAACGGCAGCAGCCAACGCAACAACUGCUGCUUCUAGUGCUGCAACGGCAGCAGCCAACGCAACAACUGCUGCAACGGCAGCAGCCAACGCAACAACUGCUGCUUCUAGUGCUGCAACGGCAGCAGCCAACGCAACAAUUGCUGCUUCUAGUGCUGCAACGGCAGCGCCCAAUGCAACAAUUGCUGCUACUAACGCAACCACCGCUGCUCCCAUUGCUCCCACUCAGGCUGUGACCACACCCACAACAACUGCUGUAGCAUCAGUAGAAACGGCGCUAACUUUCACAUCCCCUGGAGAGACAUUCACCUCAGAUUUGUUGAUUUCUGGAUCUCAAGCAUUUAUAGAUCGAUCAGCGAAUAUGAUAAGAGUUCUUAACCGUAUAUACAGCCCAGCAUUCUCUACAUUUGUCAAUUCAUCUGUGCGGGGAUACAGACAAGGAUCGAUCAUUAAUGAUGUGAGCCUUCGGUUUGCAGCCUCCUCAGUCCCUAAUGGCACACAGAUUGCAAACACUUUAAUUUCUGCAGCUCCCAGCAUCACAGAAUUCACCAUUGACACAAGCUCUAUUACUGUGAACGGCACCGCGUCAAGCGGAGUCACUCACAAGAUCAGUCUCAUCACUGCAUCCUGCACGGUGCUGCUGUCAAUGCUACUGUCAAGGCUACACUAGCAUGUGUGCUAACAUUCAUGUAAACUCUCCAAAGGGAACGCAUGCCAUCACUGGUUUGAAAAAGGACUUUAUUGGCCAAACGGGGGUGUGAUGUGUCUCUGAUUUCUUUUUUUUUUUUUGUUGAUGUACUGAGAAGUUGGUUUGUCAGGAUAUCUCACAAAAGCCUAUGUAAUCAAUAUUAGCAGCAUCUGAUUAGCCUUUAAGGAAACCUUGCAUUCUAGAUGUACUUAAGAACUAUAAUUUUGUAGGUAUUUAAACGCCUCAGCUUGUCAUUGGUGUCAGUGGCCCCUCUGGUUGACAAGUUACUGGAAGUUGCAAGGAAAGUUAUUUGCCUUUUUGUGAAAAGAUAUGAGUUGAAUGUCUUUCAGUUGGUCAUGUGUGUGGGUUUAGAUUUGCACGUACAAAGGAGGUACUACUGUUACUGCUGCUUAUUUAUUUGUUUUUCUUUUAGCAGGAUUAUGUCAAAAGUUUGAAAGUAUUCUAACCAAUGAUAGACCUAUAGAGCCAUGGAAGAACGAUUAAAUUUUGGAGGGGAAUAUACAGAUUUUGGUUCAGCUUGAAAAAAUGAAAACACCCUUUAUCUUAUAAUUAGAUAUUUAAAAAUAAAUAAAUCACGUCAUGACA
rnacentral:lncRNA from 1 species